CAGCAGCCGCGGUAAUUCCAGCUCCAAUAGCGUAUAUUAAAGUUGUUGCAGUUAAAAAGCUCGUAGUUGAACUUCGGGGUUUACCCAUUGGUCAGGCUUAAUUGUCUGUACUGGUGAGAUGAAUCUCUACCUUCUGAGGAACUUUCAUGCCAUUUAUUUGGUGUGAUUGGAAAUUAGGACUGUUACUUUGAAAAAACUUAGAGUGUUUAAAGCAGGCUAACGUCUGAAUACAUUAGCAUGG
rnacentral:rRNA from 1 species